rnacentral:rRNA from 1 species
UAGAGUUUGAUCAUGGCUCAGAUUGAACGCUGGCGGCAGGCUUAACACAUGCAAGUCGAGCGGUAGCACAGGGGAGCUUGCUCCCUGGGUGACGAGCGGCGGACGGGUGAGUAAUGUCUGGGAAACUGCCUGAUGGAGGGGGAUAACUACUGGAAACGGUAGCUAAUACCGCAUAACGUCGCAAGACCAAAGAGGGGGACCUUCGGGCCUCUUGCCAUCAGAUGUGCCCAGAUGGGAUUAGCUAGUAGGUGGGGUAAUGGCUCACCUAGGCGACGAUCCCUAGCUGGUCUGAGAGGAUGACCAGCCACACUGGAACUGAGACACGGUCCAGACUCCUACGGGAGGCAGCAGUGGGGAAUAUUGCACAAUGGGCGCAAGCCUGAUGCAGCCAUGCCGCGUGUGUGAAGAAGGCCUUCGGGUUGUAAAGCACUUUCAGCGAGGAGGAAGGUGGUGAGCUUAAUACGUUCAUCAAUUGACGUUACUCGCAGAAGAAGCACCGGCUAACUCCGUGCCAGCAGCCGCGGUAAUACGGAGGGUGCAAGCGUUAAUCGGAAUUACUGGGCGUAAAGCGCACGCAGGCGGUUUGUUAAGUCAGAUGUGAAAUCCCCGGGCUCAACCUGGGAACUGCAUUUGAAACUGGCAAGCUAGAGUCUCGUAGAGGGGGGUAGAAUUCCAGGUGUAGCGGUGAAAUGCGUAGAGAUCUGGAGGAAUACCGGUGGCGAAGGCGGCCCCCUGGACGAAGACUGACGCUCAGGUGCGAAAGCGAGGGGAGCAAACAGGAUUAGAUACCCUGGUAGUCCACGCUGUAAACGAUGUCGAUUUGGAGGUUGUGCCCUUGAGGCGUGGCUUCCGGAGCUAACGCG